UACGAAGGGGGCUAGCGUUGCUCGGAUUGACUGGGCGUAAAGGGUGCGUAGGCGGCGCGGUAAGUCGGGUGUGAAAUCUCGGAGCUUAACUCCGAAACUGCAUUCGAUACUGCCGUGCUUGAGGACUGGAGAGGAGACUGGAAUUUACGGUGUAGCGGUGAAAUGCGUAGAUAUCGUAAGGAAGACCAGUGGCGAAGGCGGGUCUCUGGACAGUUCCUGACGCUGAGGCACGAAGGCCAGGGGAGCAAACGGG
rnacentral:rRNA from 1 species